GGGUCAUUGGUGAAGACGGCUAUCACACUUGGUUUGCACCCAAGAGUCACGGGUUCGAAGCCCGUAUGUAUCCA
rnacentral:tRNA from 1 species